rnacentral:rRNA from 1 species
AUUGAACGCUGGCGGCAGGCUUAACACAUGCAAGUCGAGCGGGGGAGGUUACUUCGGUAACUGACCUAGCGGCGGACGGGUGAGUAAUGCUUAGGAAUCUGCCUAUUAGUGGGGGACAACAUUCCGAAAGGAAUGCUAAUACCGCAUACGCCCUACGGGGGAAAGCAGGGGAUCUUCGGACCUUGCGCUAAUAGAUGAGCCUAAGUCGGAUUAGCUAGUUGGUGGGGUAAAGGCCUACCAAGGCGACGAUCUGUAGCGGGGCUGAGAGGAUGGGCCGGCACACUGGGACAGAGACACGGCCCAGACUCCUACGGGCGGCAGCAGUGGGGAAUAUUGGACAAUGGGCGGAAGCCUGAUUCAGCCAUGCCGCGUGUGUGAAGAAGGCCUUUUGGUUGUAAAGCACUUUAAGCGAGGAGGAGGCUCCUUUAGUUAAUACCCGGGGCUAAUGACGGUACCGUAAGAAUAAGCACCGGCUAACUACGUGCCAGCCGCCGCGGUAACAC